AGAGCGAACGUUAGCGGCGGGCCUAACACAUGCAAGUCGAACGAGAAUGAGGGGGCAACUCCUCUAGUAAAGUGGCGGACGGGUGCGUAACACGUGGGUAAUCUACCUUCCGGCGGGGGACAACAGUCCGAAAGGAUUGCUAAUACCGCAUACGUCAGCGAGGUCUACGGAUCUUGUUGGGAAAGAUGGCCUCUCCUUGGAAGCUGUCACCGGAAGAUGAGCCCGCGGCCCAUCAGCUAGUUGGUGAGGUAACGGCUCACCAAGGCAUAGACGGGUAGCUGGUCUGAAAGGACGACCAGCCACACUGGAACUGAGACACGGUCCAGACACCUACGGGUGGCAGCAGUCGAGAAUUUUUCACAAUGGGGAAACCCUGAUGGAGCGACGCCGCGUGGAGGAUGAAGGCCCUCGGGUCGUAAACUCCUGUCAUGCGGGAACAAGAAAGUGAUAGUACCGCAAGAGGAAGAGACGGCUAACUCUGUGCCAGCAGCCGCGGUAA
rnacentral:rRNA from 1 species